GGCCGAUGAAGAGAUCUAUUGUCCGUACCAUCUGAUUUUCUGAUGCAUCCUAUUUGCCAAAUUUUCUGAGGCCC